GUUAACAUUUUUGAUAUUUUAUCCUUCGGAGACCUCUGAUAUAGAGAAGAUUAGCAUGACCCUUGUGCAAGGAUGACAUGCACAAAUCGAAAAAUGGUAUAAGAGUCA